rnacentral:rRNA from 1 species
UCCUACGGGAGGCAGCAGUGGGGAAUCUUGGACAAUGGGCGCAAGCCUGAUCCAGCCAUGCCGCGUGAGUGAUGAAGGCCCUAGGGUCGUAAAGCUCUUUCGCCAGGGAUGAUAAUGACAGUACCUGGUAAAGAAACCCCGGCUAACUCCGUGCCAGCAGCCGCGGUAAUACGGAGGGGGUUAGCGUUGUUCGGAAUUACUGGGCGUAAAGCGCGCGUAGGCGGAUUAGUUAGUCAGAGGUGAAAUCCCGGGGCUCAACCCCGGAACUGCCUUUGAUACUGCUAGUCUAGAGUUCGAGAGAGGUGAGUGGAAUUCCGAGUGUAGAGGUGAAAUUCGUAGAUAUUCGGAGGAACACCAGUGGCGAAGGCGGCUCACUGGCUCGAUACUGACGCUGAGGUGCGAAAGUGUGGGGAGCAAACAGGAUUAGAUACCCUGGUAGUCCACACCGUAAACGAUGAAUGCCAGUCGUCGGGUAGCAUGCUAUUCGGUGACACACCUAACGGAUUAAGCAUUCCGCCUGGGGAGUACGGUCGCAAGAUUAAAACUCAAAUGAAUUGACGG